UUGUUGGAGAGUUUUGAUCCUGGCUCAGGACGAACGCUGGCGGCGUGCUUAACACAUGCAAGUCGAGCGGAAAGGCCCUUCGGGGUACUCGAGCGGCGAACGGGUGAGUAACACGUGAGCAACCUGCCCUAGGCUUUGGGAUAACCCUCGGAAACGGGGGCUAAUACCGAAUAUGACCUCCGGUCGCAUGACCGGUGGUGGAAAGUUUUUCGGCCUGGGAUGGGCUCGC
rnacentral:rRNA from 1 species